rnacentral:rRNA from 1 species
AACGAACGCUGGCGGCAUGCCUAACACAUGCAAGUCGAACGAGACCUUCGGGUCUAGUGGCGCACGGGUGCGUAACGCGUGGGAACCUGCCCUUAGGUUCGGAAUAACUCCCAGAAAGGGGUGCUAAUACCGGAUAAUGUCUUCGGACCAAAGAUUUAUCGCCUUUGGAUGGGCCCGCGUUGGAUUAGCUAGUUGGUAGGGUAAAAGCCUACCAAGGCGACGAUCCAUAGCUGGUCUGAGAGGAUGAUCAGCCACACUGGGACUGAGACACGGCCCAGACUCCUACGGGAGGCAGCAGUGGGGAAUAGUGGACAAUGGGCGAAAGCCUGAUCCAGCAAUGCCGCGUGAGUGAUGAAGGCCUUAGGGUUGUAAAGCUCUUUUACCCGGGAUGAUAAUGACAGGACCGGGAGAAUAAACGCCGGCGAACUCCGC